GGGAAGCUGAAAGGCUUGCGCGCUGGGUAAAAGGGACGCAAUCAAUUUUCCAAAUUCCAAUUUUUAUCAUCAUCACAAUACCCACAUGGACAGCCUGUGCCCAACUCCCUUUUGUUUUGAUGCUUAUCAAGCUAGGCUUAGGCAAUAAAAUAGACUACCAAAAUUAACAUAAUCUUUCCUCGCCAUAAUUUCAACAGCAGCACCAUUCCAUUAACCCAAUUGAAAGCUCAGGCCCUUCUUGUUUUCCGGAGUGGGGUGGAACCUGCAAAAGUUCCCAAUACUCGUGCCAACUUUUGUCCCUCACUUUCUACCCACCAGAUUUUCUGUUUUUUUCUUUUUCUUGUAAAAUAAUCAUACCCCAUAAAGAAAUCUAAGUUACAGUAGUGCUGAAUGUGUUUAAUUUUGCUAUGGAGGUGUGUCUCUUCUCUUUUCUUCUUCUUCUUCUUAUUCUUUUGUUUGCUCAUGCCCAUUGCAAAUCAGAUAUUCACCUUGGCUACAGAGUUGCCCUUGCUUUUCCUGUUGAGUACAGCGUGGGAUUCAUUGGGAGAGCUUUUUUGAUGGAGACGAACCAAAUGGAGCCCAAUUUUAAGGCUGCAUUGAGUGUGGAACCAAUUGAUGGAAAAUAUUCGUGUUCCUUGGAAGUUUUUCUUGGUGAUGUGAAGGUCUGGAAUUCUGGUCAUUACUCUCCAUUUUUCACGUCAGAAAGGUGCGUGCUUGAGCUAACCAAGCAAGGGGAUUUGCAGUUGAAGGGAGAGAAAGAGAGAGUGGGAUGGCGAACUGGGACUUCUGGACAAGGUGUGGAGAUAUUAAAGAUACUGGGAACGGGUAAUCUAGUCCUGGUGGAUGCCCUGAACCUUACAAAGUGGCAGAGCUUCAACUUUCCAACCGACGUAAUGCUAAGGGGACAGAGACUAAAUGUGGCCACUCGCUUGACUUCCUUCCCCACCAACUCAACUGCUUUCUAUUCCUUGGAAAUUCAAUACAACAAGAUUGCUCUCUACCUGAAUUCGGGUCGGUGGAACUAUUCUUACUGGGAAUUUAAGCCUUCCAAGAACAGAAACAUCACCUUUGCUGAAUUAGGCUCAAAAGGGUUAGCGUUAUUCAAUGAUAACCAUCACAAGAUGGCGAAGAUCUCGUUGUCGAAAAGGAUUCACCAUCCCCUGGGAUUUUUAGCUCUGGGCAAUAAAACAGGAAACUUGGGGCUCUAUUUUUACUCGCCUGACAAGCAAAGGUUUGAGGCAGCGUUUCAAGCGCUAAACACCACAUGUGAUCUUCCUCUAUCAUGCAAACCUUACGGUAUUUGUACAUUCUAUGGUACUUGUUCAUGUAUCCAAUUUCUAACAAAUGAAAAGGGGAUGGGUUCUGAUUGUAGCGAUGGUUUUUCCGGUGGGUUCUGUGGAAGAGGUGAGGUAGAAAUGCGGGAAUUAUAUGGCGUUAGCAGCGUUCUAAGGGCUGCUCCUACAAAGCUCAAUAUUAGCAAGGUAGCUUGUGCAAAAUUUUGCCUGCAAAACUGUAAAUGUGUUGCUGCAUUAUACUCCUCUGAGGAGUUAAGAGAAUGCCACCUUUAUGGAGUAGUGAUGGGUGUCAAACAGGUGGAGAGGGGAACAAGAUGGAGUUACAUGGUAAAGGUUCAAAAAGGAAGCUAUGUUGGUCAUGAGAAUUCUGGAUUGAAGAAAUGGGUUUUGGCUAUGGUGGGACUGAUUGAUAGUUUGGUUAUUUUGCUUGUUUUUGGGGGGUUUGCCUAUUAUUUGAUUCGAAAGAGAAGAAAGAACACUGCCACCACAGCUGAUAACACCACCUAAAACUGCCUAUGGAAGGGCGAUUCUAAGUUUCUGCGAUGAGAAUUGCAAUUUUACCUUUUCUUUUCCUUUAUACCCUUGUUUAAACAGACAAGGAUUACGAUUUUUGAUGUCUUCUGCAUUUUAUGUUUGAUCAUUCAUAUUGCAGAAAUCGAAUUUUAUGUUUUUAAGCAAUGCUGGAUUUGUCUUUGGGUUUGGGUUUGAAAUGUUAGUUCGAGCACAGAGCAAGAACAUUCUGGCCCAAUUUAUAGAGAAUUUUCCAAUCCUUAAUUUGGGCUGAGUCCCUUCGCAUUCGCAGUUUUCAAUUCAAGGAUCCAAAUUUACAUAUAUUGGGCUUUGGGUUUUAGGGGGUGUUUGGUUUACCUG
rnacentral:misc_RNA from 1 species